rnacentral:misc_RNA from 1 species
GAUGAAGAACGCAGCGAAAUGCGAUAAGUAGUGUGAAUUGCAGAAUUCAGUGAAUCAUCGAAUCUUUGAACGCACAUUGCGCCCCUUGGUAUCCCGAGGGGCAUGCCUGUUCGAGCGUCAUUUCACCACUCAAGCCUGGCUUGGUGUUGGGCGACGUCCUCUUUGGGGACGCGCCUCGAAACGCUCGGCGGCGUGGCACCGGCUUUAAGCGUAGCAGAAUCUUUCGCUUUGGAAGUCGGGGCCCCGUCUGCCGGAAGACCUGCUCGCAAGGUUGGCCUCGGAUCAGGCAGGGAUACCCGCUGAACUUAAGCAUAUCAAUAAGCGGAGGA